rfam:Apaloderma vittatum contig48516, whole genome shotgun sequence.
AGCCAGGCUCUUUUCAGAGCCACCUAGUGACAGGACUGAAGGCAAU